CAGACCUCUGAUCAGAAAAGACUACCCGCUGAGUUUAAGCAUAUCAAUAAGGCGGAGGAA
rnacentral:rRNA from 1 species